rnacentral:rRNA from 1 species
GUGGGGAAUAUUGGACAAUGGGCGAAAGCCUGAUCCAGCCAUGCCGCGUGUGUGAAGAAGGUCUUCGGAUUGUAAAGCACUUUAAGUUGGGAGGAAGGGCAGUAAGUUAAUACCUUGCUGUUUUGACGUUACCAACAGAAUAAGCACCGGCUAACUUCGUGCCAGCAGCCGCGGUAAUACGAAGGGUGCAAGCGUUAAUCGGAAUUACUGGGCGUAAAGCGCGCGUAGGUGGUUCAGCAAGUUGGAGGUGAAAUCCCCGGGCUCAACCUGGGAACUGCCUCCAAAACUACUGAGCUAGAGUACGGUAGAGGGUAGUGGAAUUUCCUGUGUAGCGGUGAAAUGCGUAGAUAUAGGAAGGAACACCAGUGGCGAAGGCGACUACCUGGACUGAUACUGACACUGAGGUGCGAAAGCGUGGGGAGCAAACAGGAUUAGAAACCCCUGUAGUCC